ACGCACGCUGGCGGCGCGCCUCACCCAUGCCAGUCGAACGGAGCUGAGAGAAGCUUGCUUUUCUUAGCUUAGUGGCGAACGGGUGAGUAACGCGUGAGUAACCUGCCCUGGAGUGGGGGACAACAGUUGGAAACGACUGCUAAUACCGCAUAAGCCCACGAUCCGGCAUCGGAUUGAGGGAAAAGGAUUUAUUCGCUUCAGGAUGGACUCGCGUCCAAUUAGCUAGUUGGUGAGGUAACGGCCCACCAAGGCGACGAUUGGUAGCCGGACUGAGAGGUUGAACGGCCACAUUGGGACUGAGACACGGCCCAGACUCCUACGGGAGGCAGCAGUGGGGGAUAUUGCACAAUGGGGGAAACCCUGAUGCAGCGACGCCGCGUGGAGGAAGAAGGUUUUCGGAUUGUAAACUCCUGUCGUUAGGGACGAUAAUGACGGUACCUAACAAGAAAGCACCGGCUAACUACGUG
rnacentral:rRNA from 1 species